AUUGAACGCUAGCGGCAGGCUUUACACAUGCAAGUCGAACGAGUGGCGGACGGGUGAGUAAUAUAUGGGAACGUGCCCAGUAGCGGGGGAUAACUACUAGAAAGAGUGGCUAAUACCGCAUACUAUUAGAGCGGCCGAUAUGGGAUUAGCUAGUUGGUGGGGUAAAGGCGCACCAAGGCCACGAUCCCUAGCUGGUCUGAGAGGAUGAUCAGCCACACUGGGACUGAGACACGGCCCAGACUCCUACGGGAGGCAGCAGUGGGGAAUAUUGGACAAUGGGCGAAACCCUGAUGCAGCCAUCCCGCGUGUAUGAGAAGGCCUUCGGGUUGUAAAGUACUUUUAGCAGGGAAGCGGUAUCUGCAGAAUAAGCACCGGCUAACUACGUGCCAGCAGCCGCGGUAAUAC
rnacentral:rRNA from 1 species